UACGGGAGGCAGCAGUGGGGAAUAUUGCACAAUGGGCGCAAGCCUGAUGCAGCCAUGCCGCGCGUAUGAAGAAGGCCUUCGGGUUGUAAAGUACUUUCAGUCGUGAGGAAGGUGUUAAGGUUAAUAACCUUAGCAAUUGACGUUAGCGACAGAAGAAGCACCGGCUAACUCCGUGCCAGCAGCCGCGGUAAUACGGAGGGUGCGAGCGUUAAUCGGAAUUACUGGGCGUAAAGGGCACGCAGGCGGUUAAUUAAGUUGGAUGUGAAAUCCCCGGGCUUAACCUGGGAAUGGCAUUCAAGACUGGUUAGCUAGAGUCUUGUAGAGGGGGUAGAAUUCCAUGUGUAGCGGUGAAAUGCGUAGAGAUGUGGAGGAAUACCGGUGGCGAAGGCGGCCCCUGGACAAAGACUGACGCUCAUGUGCGAAAGCGUGGGGAGCAAACAGGGAUUAGAUACC
rnacentral:rRNA from 1 species